rnacentral:rRNA from 1 species
GGGUUGUGAGGUUAAGCGACUAAGCGUACACGGUGGAUGCCCUGGCAGUCAGAGGCGAUGAAGGGCGUGCUAAUCUGCGAUAAGCGCCGGUAAGGUGAUAUGAACCGUUAUAACCGGCGAUACCCGAAUGGGGAAACCCAGUGUGACUCGUCACACUAUCAUUAACUGAAUCCAUAGGUUAAUGAGGCGAACCGGGGGAACUGAAACAUCUAAGUACCCCGAGGAAAAGAAAUCAACCGAGAUUCCCCCAGUAGCGGCGAGCGAACGGGGAGGAGCCCAGAGCCUGAAUCAGCAUGUGUGUUAGUGGAAGCGUCUGGAAAGGCGCGCGAUACAGGGUGACAGCCCCGUACACAAAAGCGCAUGUGCUGUGAGCUCGAUGAGUAGGGCGGGACACGUGGUAUCCUGUCUGAAUAUGGGGGGACCAUCCUCCAAGGCUAAAUACUCCUGACUGACCGAUAGUGAACCAGUACCGUGAGGGAAAGGCGAAAAGAACCCCGGCGAGGGGAGUGAAAAAGAACCUGAAACCGUGUACGUACAAGCAGUGGGAGCNNGUGACUGCGUACCUUUUGUAUAAUGGGUCAGCGACUUAUAUUCUGUAGCAAGGUUAACCGAAUAGGGGAGCCGGAGGGAAACCGAGUCUUAAUUGGGCGUUAAGUUGCAGGGUAUAGACCCGAAACCCGGUGAUCUAGCCAUGGGCAGGUUGAAGGUUGGGUAACACUAACUGGAGGACCGAACCGACUAAUGUUGAAAAAUUAGCGGAUGACCUGUGGCUGGGGGUGAAAGGCCAAUCAAACCGGGAGAUAGCUGGUUCUCCCCGAAAGCUAUUUAGGUAGCGCCUCGUGAAUUCAUCUCCGGGGGUAGAGCACUGUUUCGGCUAGGGGGCCAUCCCGGCUUACCAACCCGAUGCAAACUGCGAAUACCGGAGAAUGUUAUCACGGGAGACACACGGCGGGUGCUAACGUCCGUCGUGAAGAGGGAAACAACCCAGACCGCCAGCUAAGGUCCCAAAGUCAUGGUUAAGUGGGAAACGAUGUGGGAAGGCCCAGACAGCCAGGAUGUUGGCUUAGAAGCAGCCAUCAUUUAAAGAAAGCGUAAUAGCUCACUGGUCGAGUCGGCCUGCGCGGAAGAUGUAACGGGGCUAAACCAUGCACCGAAGCUGCGGCAGCGANNGUUGGGUAGGGGAGCGUUCUGUAAGCCUGUGAAGGUGUGUCGUGAGGCAUGCUGGAGGUAUCAGAAGUGCGAAUGCUGACAUAAGUAACGAUAAAGCGGGUGAAAAGCCCGCUCGCCGGAAGACCAAGGGUUCCUGUCCAACGUUAAUCGGGGCAGGGUGAGUCGACCCCUAAGGCGAGGCCGAAAGGCGUAGUCGAUGGGAAACGGGUUAAUAUUCCCGUACUUGGUGUUACUGCGAAGGGGGGACGGAGAAGGCUAUGUUGGCCGGGCGACGGUUGUCCCGGUUUAAGCGUGUAGGUGUGUGUUCCAGGUAAAUCCGGUUCACUUUAACACUGAGGCGUGA